rnacentral:lncRNA from 1 species
UCUUGUUAAUGGCUGCUACGAGCCUGCACUUGGCCAUCUUGUCACCUGAAGCUGCAAGGCCUUCAUUUCACAUCAAUACAUCUUAACAGCCAAAGGAGAAAUGGCGGGGCUUGGAAUGGGGUAGAGGAAGCUGAAAUUAAUGUUUCACACCGAACUGUCCUACAAAGAAAGAAGGAAAGAAAGAAAAAACAACAACAAAAGAAGAUAGAAAAAGAAAGAAAAAAGGA